rnacentral:rRNA from 1 species
GCAAGUCGAACGAGAAAGCACUUCGGUGUGAGUAAAGUGGCGCACGGGUGAGUAACGCGUAGGUGAUAUGCCUUUUAGUGGGGGACAACAGUUGGAAACGACUGCUAAUACCGCAUAAGCUGAUGACAUUGAAAAAAAUCAGGAAAGGGGGCUUCGGCUCUCGCUAAGAGAUUGGCCUGCGUGACAUUAGCUUGAUGGUGGGGUAAUGGCCUACCAUGGCGACGAUGUCUAACUGGUCUGAGAGGAUGAUC